rnacentral:rRNA from 1 species
UACGUAGGGGCGAGCGUUGUCCGGAUUUACUGGGCGUAAAGGGUGAGUAGGCGGUUAUAUAUGUCAGGUGUAAAAGGCUAUGGCUUAACCAUGGUUAGCACUUGAAACUGUAUGACUUGAGUGCAGGAGAGGUAAGUGGAAUUCCUAGUGUAGCGGUGAAAUGCGUAGAUAUUAGGAGGAACACCAGUGGCGAAGGCGACUUACUGGACUGUAACUGACGCUGAGUCACGAAAGCGUGGGUAGCAAACAGGAUUAGAUACCCCCGUAGUCCCU